GACGAACGCUGGCGGCGUGCCUAAUACAUGCAAGUAGAACGCUGAAGGAGGAGCUUGCUUCUCUGGAUGAGUUGCGAACGGGUGAGUAACGCGUAGGUAACCUGCCUGGUAGCGGGGGAUAACUAUUGGAAACGAUAGCUAAUACCGCAUAAGAGUAGAUGUUGCAUGACAUUUGCUUAAAAGGUGCAAUUGCAUCACUACCAGAUGGACCUGCGUUGUAUUAGCUAGUUGGUGGGGUAACGGCUCACCAAGGCGACGAUACAUAGCCGACCUGAGAGGGUGAUCGGCCACACUGGGACUGAGACACGGCCCAGACUCCUACGGGAGGCAGCAGUAGGGAAUCUUCGGCAAUGGACGGAAGUCUGACCGAGCAACGCCGCGUGAGUGAAGAAGGUUUUCGGAUCGUAAAGCUCUGUUAUAAGAGAAGAACGAGUGUGAGAGUGGAAAGUUCACACUGUGACGGUAUCUACCA
rnacentral:rRNA from 1 species